CCUACGAGGGGCAGCAGUGAGGAAUAUUGGUCAAUGGGCGCGAGCCUGAACCAGCCAAGUAGCGUGAAGGAUGACUGCCCUACGGGUUGUAAACUUCUUUUAUAAAGGAAUAAAGUGCGGCAAGUGUGCCUUUUUGUAUGUACUUUAUGAAUAAGGAUCGGCUAACUCCGUGCCAGCAGCCGCGGUAAUACGGAGGAGCCGAGCGUUAUCCGGAUUUAUUGGGUGUAAAGGGAGCGUAGAUGGGUUGUUAAGUCAGUUGUGAAAGUUUGCGGCUCAAUCCUAAAAUUGCAUUUGAUACAGGCAGUCUUGAGUACAGGUGAGGUAGGCGGAAUUCGUGGUGUAGCGGUGAAAUGCUUAGAUAUCACGAAGAACUCCGAUUGCGAAGGCAGCUUACUAAACUGCCACUGACAUUGAUGCUCGAAAGUGUGGGUAUCAAACAGGAUUAGAUACCCGGGUAGUC
rnacentral:rRNA from 1 species